UGGGGAAUAUUGCACAAUGGGCGCAAGCCUUAUGCAGCCAUGCCGCGUGUGUGAAGAAUGCCUUCGGGUUGUAAAGCACUUUCAGCGGGGAGGAAGGCGAUAAGGUUAAUAACCUUGUCGAUUGACGUUACCCGCAGAAGAAGCACCGGCUAACUCCGUGCCAGCAGCCGCGGUAAUACGGAGGGUGCAAGCGUUAAUCGGAAUUACUGGGCGUAAAGCGCACGCAGGCGGUUGAUUGAGUCAGAUGUGAAAUCCCCGGGCUUAACCCGGGAAUUGCAUCUGAUACUGGUCAGCUAGAGUCUUGUAGAGGGGGGUAGAAUUCCAUGGGUAGCGGUGAAAUGCGUAGAGAUGUGGAGGAAUACCGGUAGCGAAGGCGGCCCCCUGGACAAAGACUGACGCUCAGGUGCGAAAGCGUGGGGAGCAAACAGG
rnacentral:rRNA from 1 species